GCCCGGGUGGCGGAAUUGGUAGACGCGCUAGGUUCAGGUCCUAGUGUACUCUUUUGUACGUGCUGGUUCGACUCCAGUCUCGGGCA
rnacentral:tRNA from 2 species